rnacentral:rRNA from 1 species
GGAGCCGUAGCGAAAGCGAGUUUUAACUGAGCGUUCAGUUACUUGACGUAGACCCGAAACCGGGCGACCUACCCAUGAGCAGGCUGAAGCGAAAGUAAAAUUUCGUGGAGGUCCGAACCCACGAGCGUUGAAAAGCUCGGGGAUGACUUGUGGGUAGCGGUGAAAUUCCAAUCGAGCCCGGAGAUAGCUGGUUCUCCCCGAAAUAGCUUUA